CCCGGUGAUCAUAGGUUCCUGGCCAUACCCGUUCCCAUCCCGAACACGGUCGUCAAGCAGGAUCCGCCGAUGAUAUUGCCUUAGCGAGAAAGUAGGUUGUUGCCGGGG
rnacentral:rRNA from 1 species